CUACGGGCGGCUGCAGUGAGGAAUUUUGCGCAAUGGGGGGAACCCUGACGCAGCAACGCCGCGUGAGUGAUGAAGGCUUUCGGGUCGUAAAGCUCUGUCAAGUGGGAAGAACCUAUGCAGUGUUAAUAUCACUGUAUACUGACGGUACCACUGAAGGAAGCACCGGGUAACUCCGUGCCAGCAGCCGCGGUAAUACGGGGGGUGCAAGCGUUAUUCGGAAUCAUUGGGCGUAAAGGGCACGUAGGCGGCUUGGUAAGUCAGAUGUGAAAGCCCGGGGCUUAACCCCGGAAGUGCAUUUGAUACUGUCAGGCUUGAGUAUGGGAGAGGGAAGUGGAAUUCCUGGUGUAGAGGUGAAAUUCGUAGAUAUCAGGAGGAACACCGGUGGCGAAGGCGACUUCCUGGACCAAUACUGACGCUGAGGUGCGAAGGCGUGGGUAGCAAACAGGAUUAGAUACCCGAGUAGUC
rnacentral:rRNA from 1 species